UGGCAUGAGUAGCGAUAAAUGGGGUGAGAAUCCCCAUCACCGAAAGCCUAAGGUUUCCUGAGUAAAGUUCGUCUGCUCAGGGUUAGUCGGGACCUAAGGUGAGGCCGAGAGGCGUAGCCGAUGGGAAACGGGUUAAAUAUUCCCGUACCACCUGUAUGGGUGUUUGAGCCCGAGGGGUGACGCAGGAGUGAAGGCCAUCCGGGUGUUGGAUGUCCCGGUCUAAGCGCGUAGGCGGGGCUGGUAGGCAAAUCCGCCGGCCCGUUACCGCCGAGACGCGAAUGGGAUCCCUUCGGGGAGCAAACUGGCCGUAAUCACACUGCCAGGAAAAACCUCGCGGGUGAAUCCAUCAGGUGCCCGUACCGCAAACCGACACAGGUAGGCGGGGAGAGAAUCCUCAGGUGCGCGAGUGAGCCCUCGUUAAGGAACUCGACAGAUUGGCCCCGUAACUUCGGGAGAAGGGGUGCCCGCGGUAGGUGAAUCCCCUUGCGGGAGGAGCCGAGGCGGGUUGCAGUGGCCAGGCCCAGGCGACUGUUUACUAAAAACACAGGACUCUGCUAACUCGUAAGAGGACGUAUAGGGUCUGACACCUGCCCGGUGCCGGAAGGUUAAGGGGAGCCGUUAUCCCGCACCCAUUUUAAUUUAUCUCUAAUAGAGGUGAAUGAUGUAUUAUGUAUAUGUGCUUCAGUGUAGAGACGAUGCAGCUAAAAGCUACAUCGGCUAUACGGAAGAUUUAAGGCGGCGCAUGCGUCGGCAUAAUUCACCUGGUAAUCGGGGUUAUACCAGUGGUCGUGAAUGGCGGUUGGUAUAUUAUGAGGCAUAUUUAUCCGCCGAAGAUGCGCGAUUGCGAGAAAGGCGUUUGAAACAAGAUGGUCGAGCGCGAUACCAGUUGAUGCAACGGAUCCAACGGAGUUUAGAGGUAGAUUAAAAUGGGUGCGGGAGAAGCGGUGAACCGAAGCCCCGGUAAACGGCGGCCGUAACUAUAACGGUCCUAAGGUAGCGAAAUUCCUUGUCGGGUAAGUUCCGACCUGCACG
rnacentral:rRNA from 1 species